rnacentral:rRNA from 1 species
GAUGAACGCUGGCGGCGUGCCUAAUACAUGCAAGUCGAGCGAACAGAUAAGGAGCUUGCUCCUUUGACGUUAGCGGCGGACGGGUGAGUAACACGUGGGUAACCUACCUAUAAGACUGGGAUAACUUCGGGAAACCGGAGCUAAUACCGGAUAAUAUUUCGAACCGCAUGGUUCGAUAGUGAAAGAUGGUUUUGCUAUCACUUAUAGAUGGACCCGCGCCGUAUUAGCUAGUUGGUAAGGUAACGGCUUACCAAGGCGACGAUACGUAGCCGACCUGAGAGGGUGAUCGGCCACACUGGAACUGAGACACGGUCCAGACUCCUACGGGAGGCAGCAGUAGGGAAUCUUCCGCAAUGGGCGAAAGCCUGACGGAGCAACGCCGCGUGAGUGAUGAAGGUCUUCGGAUCGUAAAACUCUGUUAUUAGGGAAGAACAUACGUGUAAGUAACUGUGCACGUCUGGACGGUACCUAAUCAGAAAGCCACGGCUAACUACGU